AGGAUGAACGCUGGCGGCGUGCCUAACACAUGCAAGUCGAACGUCCUGUCUCGCAAGAGGCAGGGAGUGGCGGACGGGUGAGUACCACGUGGGUUAUCUACCGUGAGGUGAGGAAUACCGGCGAGAAAUCGCCGACAAGACCGCAUAGCCUCGGUGCAAGCCGAGGAAAGCUUUCUCGAGAGAGGGAGCGCCACACGAGGAGCCUGCGCCCGAUUAGCUAGCUGGUGGAGUAACGGUUCACCAGGGCGACGAUCGGUAGCUGGUCUGAGAGGACGAUCAGCCACACUGGGAUUGAGAACGGCCCAGACUCCUACGGGGGGCAGCAGUGAGGAAUUUCGUCAAUGGGGCAACCCUGAACGAGCAACGCCGCGUGCAGGAAGAAGGUUUUCGGAUCGUAAACUGCUUUUCUCGGGGAAGAGAACGGACGGUACCCGAGGAAUCAGCCCCGGCUAACUACGUGCCAGCAGCCGCGGUAA
rnacentral:rRNA from 1 species